rnacentral:lncRNA from 9 species
AUCAUGGUCCCCUAAUUAUUUAUGGAAUAAGAGAGAGGGUUGGUAUGACAGAUUCCUCUUUUUUUUUAAUUGUUGUUUUGUUUUAGGAAGAAAUGAAAGAGACCAUUUGGGUUCCAUGCUGGAUGAGACUUCAAACAAUCAGCAAUGCCCUCUAAGGUACUGCUUGGUUUUGUCAUUUCCUUCUCGACUGGACAAGAAACUGGGAAUUCAUCGUAUCCAUGACAUCAGCCUUUCCUGUGUGGACAUAGUAAGAGGUCACCAGUCUGUAAGUCAGGAAGACAGUUCUCUCCAGGAACUGGGUAUGCAAGCACCUUUGAGACAGACCAGGAUGUGGGACCUGGGACUCUUUGCUGCAGUGGCUGCAGUGCUUGCACCUGGACAAACAUCUCCUGGUGCAACAAAAUACAAGAAACCAGAGGGACUAAAAAUAACUGCGUACAUGCACAGUUGGGACAAAUUAUGGGCAAGAUGAUAUAAAAAACCUAAAAACCCAACUGCCACUUCUGAAGAGAAGAGAGCAUUUCCCCUGCACACACCAACAUCAAAGAGGUGGGCAGACGAUUUAAGCCAUCUCUCUGGCCUCAUCCCUGGACCUGCUCCUACCCUCACCCCACAUAAGGUACAAGCUUGUCACUGCCUACCCACAGUAAGAAAGAAAGCAAGGGAAACUUGUUGCUUGUUUUCACUCCCUGCUGCCACAGCAGGGGCCCCAUAAAGCCUUACAUGAAUUUUUCUGUUUAGCCUCUUCUCAAUUUCCAUUGAUUAAGAAGGUCAACACCUGCCGUGAUAACACCUUCAUCUUGGACUUCCCAGAAUCCAGAACUGUGCGCAGUGAAUGUCUCUUGUUUAAGCCACCCAGUGUAAGGUAUUUUUGUUACCCCUACCUGUCCAUGAGAGCUAAAGGAUCCUCACAUUGAUUUAUCUGGGUUCAUUUCAAAGCACCUGGUAUUUGUCAAAAGAUGUUUUACAGCUGUGCUUCGAGAUAUGCAGUGGUCAACGGCUCUGAGCUUGUUCUGACUUACCUGUGCAGGUGAGACCUUGAGGUUUCCUAAAGUUAUCUUUGCUUUAUUACCAUGCUAAAGUUCCACCCAGGGAGCAGACUUGCACUCUGCUAAGAACAACUUGAGCUUUGUGCAAAAACGAAGUAUGGCAGAUAGCACAUGCCCUGGUUCCCCCAGAAAUCUCUGGCCCUUUCCUAGAGCUCAGAUGAUGCACCUGUUUUCUAUCUCUUAAAUAUUCCUUUACUCCGCUUCUUUUGGGGAGGAGAUGUUUUUAGAGCAGGAACUCUCCCUUCUCCAUCCCCUCAUCAAUGUAUGAAGUUUCUGCUCUGCUACAUAGAAUCUGGUUUCGUUUGAUUGGCAUCUGGGACUCUGGGCAAAGGACCCAAUGAGAAGGGUCACUGGCCAUUGCAGAUCAGUGACAUUUUGUUAUAGCAGCUCAAGCUGAGAUGUGUAUUUUCAUGUAAAACAUCAUAGGUCUGUCAAUAGAUAUCAUUAUGCCCAUUUUAUGAACGAAGAGACUUAUCAGGCUCAGGAGGAUUAAGUAAAUAGCUCUAGUUAAAGAAUAGUUACAUAUCUGAGAGUCAAAGGCAGACACAUGUUCAGUUUAGCCCAGGGCUUCUUUCCCAAGGACAUGAGUCUGGUUGCUUUAACCAGGUGAAUAUCAUGAUUUUAUUUCGGACUCUUCAUUAGUUAGACACAGCACAAAUUGAGUAAUUGUUAACCUCUCAAGCACACUUUGCUAAUUUGUAAAUAGGUUGGAAAGCAGUGACUUACAUAAGCCAGCAUACUGAUCUGAACAUGAAGAUGUUAAAAGAAAAAGAAAAAAAAAAAACAUCAAAUUCAUACGAUGUGGGCAAGGGAAGAAAAAUUAGAUUCUUUUUCAUUUUUUUAAGGUUGUGUUUGAGCCUAUAUGAUUAUCAGGCUAAAGCAAGCAGAUAUAGGAAGGGGUUAACAUACUUAAAAAACAGGGCAACCACAAAUCAAAACCAGACAUUACAUUCACAAAAACUAAAAAGUAAAGUAUUCAAACAUAAAAUAAAUGGAAAUCAUCCAACCAAAAAAAGAAAGAAAAGAGAAACAUAGAAUCAACUGGAAAAAAAGGUUUAAAAUGGCAAUAAAUACUUAUCUAUCAAUAAUCACCUUAAAUGCCAAUGUAAAUGGGAAUAAUAGGAUUUGUAAUUUAUAUUUCACAUAUGUGGAGGGGAUUUAUUUCCUGUCCUGUAUUUCUUCUAGAGCCCAAUCCAAAUCAAAUUAACUUAAAAACAAACAAGUAAAUAAAUACUAUGGGCCAGAUACCUGAGUAGUUUCUCAGGUCAAAAUAGUGAAACAGCACAGUGAUAAUGUAGUGAGAGAAAGGCUCCAUCAGGGGAAGUUAGUGUGUGAUGAGACAAGAGGAGGCCUUGUUUUGUUCUUAAAGGGGUGGGAAGGGAAGGAUUUCUAAGGGGAAGCCUCAAUGGAACAGAGAGCUGUAAGAUAGGGCCCAGAAACAGGAGUUUACCAGGUGAACGGUAUGGGGAAGGGGGAGGAGCAAUCUACCUAGUCAAGUAAGGGUGCAGAAGUGUGAGCCAAAUUGACGAGCUCUGGGAGCUGAAUGGAUGGAGGUGAUGCUAUAAAAGGUAAGUGGAAGAAACAUCACCACCCUUCUUAUGUCAGGUUCAUGCCUUUGUCCUUCAUCUGCAGUUACUGGAACUUGUUGAAUUAUUUUGCAAAGAUGGCAGAUGGGCAGUGACACGAAUAGACUUACAUUUCUGGAAGAUUACUCUGGUUACUGUGUAGAGAUUGGGGUGGAUGGAGCAGAGAGGAGGCAGAAGAUGGUCUUUGUUGCUUGGAGGUUUUUAUUUUGCCUUCCAAGCAGAUGAUGAUGGCCUAGAAUAAAGUAAUAGGAGUGAGUCUAGAAAGACAUGUUCUUAAUUUAAUAUAUAUUUAGAAGAGAGAGAAAUAUGAUGGGUAAAUUUCCUUAUUGCUUACAGGAAUGUAGAGGUGCUUGGUAAAUUGUUUUCCUAUCACAAGAUACUUCACACAUUCCACUCUAGGUCUCAGAGAAAGUGACAAUUGUGUUGUUAUUAAUAAUUUAAAUUUUAAUGAUAAAAUAUGUCCUAUUCAAUGUCUACAAAGAAACUUGACUCACAUGCACAGCUUUUGCUUUAUUGAAGGAAUCCAGAGGUUGAGAAGGAAAAUGCCUGUAAUAUUUUGGCAAUGCUAUAGUGGCCCUAGGACUGUGGGGAGGGCUUCCUCACUUGUUCUUCUGAUAUGUUUGCUCUUGAUUUUGAGUGUUUCCUUAUCAGAGGCUGUGAUUUUAAUAAUAGACAUUUGUGGAUUUGCAAAAUGCCAUAUCUUUGAAGAAAUAAAUCAUGGUUUAAAACCUGGGUAUUUACUUGUUUUUAAGUCUUUUGUAGGCCACAUGUUUGAGAUAGUUCAUGAUUGAAAGCAAGCUAUAAAAAGAUUGCUCCAUCAGGGUCAACAAAGAAUAACUUUCUGCACAUUCUGUUGUGUGUUUCCAUCAUUAGAAAAUAAAAAUAAUUCAGGGAGCAGACGUUACAUUGUUCCUCUGAUAUCUGAGGGGUCAAAGAUGAUUGAUACAGGGAAAUAAUUUUAUAAUUUAAAAAAUUUCUCUCUUUUUGAAAAAAUCUACAUCUUCUUUAUAGUUGAGUGUAAUCUGAGUAGAGGCCAAAUGCCAUAUUAGGAGUUCUGGGUUGGAGUUAUUGCUGUGGUGCAGUGGGUUUAGAAUUCAACUGCAGCAACUCAGGUUACUGUGGAGGCACAGGUUCAAUCCCUGGCCCAGCACAGUGAAUUAAAGAAUCCAGACUUGCUGCAGGUGUGGCUCAGAUUCAAUCCCUGGCCCAUGGAUUCCAUAUGCUAUGGGUCUGGUCAUUAAAAAAAAAAAAGAGUUCUGGGUUACCUAUUAUUAAUUAUGAAUUUAGGUAUUAGCACACAGCUAGUAUAUAAUACUUUGUGACCUCCUUUCAUUUGUUCUAUAGUUGUUUCUUCACAUUUUAUGGUAUUCUCUAGUUGAAUAUUCUACUCCUUCCUGAACUUAUUAUUCAUGCAAGUCUAAGCUAUAAUGACGAUUUUUUUUUUGGUCCGUAUUAACUGUUUUAGUCUUUAUUUUUCCCCCAAAUUAAAAAAAUCUCAUCCUGUUAAUUGUCUUUCUCU